GACGAACGCUGGCGGCGUGCUUAACACAUGCAAGUCGAACGGAAAGGCCUCUUUCGGGGGGUACUCGCGUGGCGAACGGGUGAGUAACACGUGAGUAACCUGCCCUUGACUUUGGGUUAACUUAAGGAAACUGGGGCUAAUACCGGCUAGGAGCUCCUGUUGCAUGGUGGGGGUUGGAAAGUUUCGGCGGUUGGGGAUGGACUCGCGGCUUAUCAGCUUGUUGGUGGGGUAGUGGCUUACCAAGGCUUUGACGGGUAGCCGGCCUGAGAGGGUGACCGGCCACAUUGGGACUGAGAUACGGCCCAGACUCCUACGGGAGGCAGCAGUGGGGAAUAUUGCACAAUGGGUGGAAGCCUGAUGCAGCAACGCCGUGUGCGGGAUGACGGCCUUCGGGUUGUAAACCGCUUUCGCUCAUGACGAAGCUUUGUGUGACGGUAGUGGGUAAAGAAGCACCGGCUAACUACGUG
rnacentral:rRNA from 1 species